UACGUAGGGGGCAAGCGUUGUCCGGAUUUAUUGGGCGUAAAGAGCGUAUAGGCGGCCAUACAGGUCAGCUGUGAAAACUCGAGGCUCAACCUCGAGACGUCGGUUGAAACCGUAUGGCUAGAGUCCGGAAGAGGAGAGUGGAAUUCCCGGUGUAGCGGUGAAAUGCGCAGAUAUCGGGAAGAACACCCGUGGCGAAGGCGGCUCUCUGGGACGGUACUGACGCUGAGACGCGAAAGCGUGGGGAGCAAACAGG
rnacentral:rRNA from 1 species